CGAAUGACGAUGACUAUGACGAAUCGUGGGGGGAGUGUAUUGCAAGAAUUGCAAUAGCGAAAACGAAAGAAGAGUAUCGCACGAGAAUAUCACAUUUAAAUUUUGAACGCAAGAUUUGUCAUGACCUAUCAGCUACUCAGCUACAUAGUUUGAAUUUUGGCUGCAAUGAAGAUGAAAUUUGUUACAUAGCAAGAAUUUUGAUUCAAAGAAAAUUUGUUCUGUUUCUUCUUUUGUGUUGAUACAAAUUCUACAUCA